rnacentral:rRNA from 1 species
AGUGAACGCUGGCGGUAGGCCUAACACAUGCAAGUCGAACGGCAGCACAGUAAGAGCUUGCUCUUACGGGUGGCGAGUGGCGGACUGGUGCGGAAUACAUCGGAAUCUACUUUUUCGUGGGGGAUAACGUAGGGUAACUUACGCUAAUACCGCAUACGACCUACGGGUGAAAGCAGGGGAUCUUCGGGCCUUGCGCGAUUGGAUCAGCCGAUGUCGGAUUAGCUAGUUGGCGGGGUAAAGGCCCACCAAGGCGACGAUCCGUAGCUGGUCUGAGAGGAUGAUCAGCCACACUGGAACUGAGACACGGUCCAGACUCCUACGGGAGGCAGCAGUGGGGAAUAUUGGACAAUGGGCGCAAGCCUGAUCCAGCCAUACCGCGUGGGUGAAGAAGGCCUUCGGGUUGUAAAGCCCUUUUGUUGGGAAAGAAAAGCAGCAGGUUAAUACCCGGCUGUUCUGACGGUACCUAAAGAAUAAGCACCGGCUAACUUCGUG